CGGAUGUCAGUGUCAAACUCAAAUUCAUCCGACGUUGGAUUCGAAAUCGUGCGCCGUGGAGAUUUGUUCCUAUCAUGUUAUUAUUUGUGUGGCUAAUUUAGUAAAUUAAGUCACCACUAUGGCUACAAACGAUUCAAAUGUAGAAGAUGAUGCUUCAUGUCACACUAUUUUGGAUAAAAUCAAUUCAAUAAACGACACUGUUGUCACCAAGGCACCAGAUAUUAAUGAUUUCACCAUCAUUAAACCUAUUAGCCGUGGCGCUUUCGGUAAAGUUUUCUUAGCACACAAAAAGAGCAAUAAGGAUCAGCUGUAUGCCAUCAAAGUUAUGAAAAAGUCGGAUAUGAUCAACAAAAAUAUGGUCACGCAAGUUGUAACUGAGAGAAAUGCUUUGGCACUCUCAAGAAGCCCUUUUUGUGUCCAUUUAUUUUAUUCUUUGCAAUCAACUUCUUCUAUAUACCUGGUGAUGGAGUAUAUGGUUGGUGGUGAUUUAAAAUCAUUGCUUGGUGUUUAUGGGUUUUUAGAAGAAUCUAUGGCAGUUUUUUAUGUAGCAGAAGUCACUCUUGCUCUGGACUACUUGCACAAACACAACAUUGUACAUAGAGAUUUGAAACCAGAUAACAUGCUCAUCUCCAGAUCAGGCCAUGUCAAACUAACUGAUUUUGGUUUGUCCAAAAUUGAAGUUAAUAGAGAUUUGGAGAUAUCAGACUUUGUGAACUGCACCCCCAGCCUGAACAUGAGAACACCAGGCCAGCUGCUGUCACUCACAUCUCACUUGUCCUUUGGCUCCGGAGAGAACAGCACACACAACUCUGUCAUGUCUACAGACGCUUGUGAGAACCUUCUUGAUGAGCUUAAAGAGACCAGCAAACUGAAAAACCUUUUUGAUGGAGUCAGUGGGUUAGAAUGCUCACCGUUAUUGAAUCAGUCACAGAUGUCAGGGAUACAUCCAUUUAUGAGCGCUGAAAGCAUUAAUUUCGAAAAUUCUCAAGACUCAGGCUCAUAUCACACUUGUGAAAGUUCAAAGAACAGUUCGAACUCUAGAAGUAACAAGUCUACAGACCCAAGUAGCAAUAGUUCAGUGGGAGAGUCCACUAUGCUGUCUGAUUCACAACAUGAUCAAUCCACUUCACCACUGUGCAGGGGACACUCUUUGAAGAGAAUACCCAGCUUCAGAGCCAAAAAAAGAAAGAGGAUUUUGGAUUGUGAUGGUGACACCCCCACAGGUGUUACAAGCCUCUUGGAGUCUAAAGAAAAUCACAGUGGCCUUACACAAGAAAUCAUGGCAUUAGAGUUGAGCCAGAACACACCCAAACGCAUGUCCAUACACCCUACGCCGGACAAACGUAAAAAUCCUAUAAAGGGUGUGUUAAAGAAACGAUGGGUAUCGCAAAAUGAUAGCCACCAUUUCAAUGUAGGAGUAAUUUUUUCUACUCCUGUAUCAAACAAGUCGCCAGAAACAAAGAAGAAAGAGACUCGUUUCAAUCUUCCCAAAGAAGAUCAUCCACCAUCUGGGACUAAGGAAAAAACUAUAAUGUUUGGCAAACAUGUUUCAACAAGCUUAGAAAUAUUUCCUACUAGGAGGUUAAGUAAGGGCGAAGGAAGUCGGUCACCUACAGAUUUGUGUAGGACUCCUCUAGCCACCGCUCAUACGCCAUACAGGACGCCGAAGAGUGUGCGGCGAGGCAACUUAGUUUCAGACCAAAGGAUCUUAGGAACUCCUGAUUAUUUAGCACCUGAGUUACUUUUGAGACAUCGAAUGGCCAGAAGACGACGAGGCGCUAUCUCCGGAGGCAGUGAGCGCGAUCGAGGCGUUACUCACCAUGGAGCCGGCAGCGCGGCCGGCGGCCACAGCCGUGAAGGAAAUGCCUAUAUUCCGCAACAUCGACUGGGAUAACCAACUCAAUGUAGAGCCGCCCUUUGUACCUACCCUCGAUGAUGUACACGAUACUGGCUACUUUCAAGCUCGCAAUAUCCUGCAACAUUUGCAUGUUUCUAACUUCGACAUGUAACGGGAGGUAACUGUAGGUAGACAUAUUACUCAAUAUUUAAACAAAUGUAUUCGUAGAUAAUGUGAUAUGUAGUGCGUAUAAUCGAUUUUAAUAUUGUGAUUAUUAUAGCAAAUAUUUUACUUACAAUAAUGUACUAAUCAAAACCAUAUAUUUAAAGACUGAUUUUAUGAACUGUAUGCCAUUUCAUUAAUUACUAUUUAAGCGAAUUUUCAUAAUGAUUUUUGAUAGUCAGUGUUUAUCAUGUAGUCGUAAGAUUUUAAAAUAAAUAACAGUACAUUCCAAA
rnacentral:misc_RNA from 1 species